UACGUAGGCAGCAAGCGUUGUUCGGAAUUACUGGGCGUAAAGGGCUCGUAGGCGGCCAACUAAGUCAGACGUGAAAUCCCUCGGCUUAACCGGGGAACUGCGUCUGAUACUGGAUGGCUUGAGAUUGGGAGAGGGAUGCGGAAUUCCAGGUGUAGCGGUGAAAUGCGUAGAUAUCUGGAGGAACACCGGUGGCGAAGGCGGCAUCCUGGACCGGUAUUGACGCUGAGGCGCGAAAGCUAGGGGAGCAAACGGG
rnacentral:rRNA from 1 species